CCUACGGGAGGCAGCAGUGAGGAAUAUUGGUCAAUGGACGAGAGUCUGAACCAGCCAAGUAGCGUGAAGGAUGACUGCCCUAUGGUUGUAAACUUCUUUUAUAAAGGAAUAAAACGAGGCACGUGUGCCUUUUUGCAUGUACUUUAUGAAUAAGGAUCGGCUAACUCCGGGCCAGCAGCCGCGGUAAUCCGGAGGAUCCGAGCGUUAUCCGGAUUUAUUGGGGUUAAAGGUAGCGUAGAUGGGUUGUUAAGUCAGUUGUGAAAGUUUGCGGCUCAACCGUAAAAUUGCAAUUGAUACUGGCAGUCUUGAGUACAGUUGAGGUAGGCGGAAUUCGUGGUGUAGCGGUGAAAUGCUUAGAUAUCACGAAGAACCCCGAUUGCGAAGGCAGCUUACUAAACUGUGACUGACAUUGAUGCUCGAAAGUGUGGGUAUCAAACAGGAUUAGAUACCCCAGUAGUC
rnacentral:rRNA from 1 species